UCAGUGGAGGCCCGGCUGAUGUGCUGGUCAGUGCGGGGAGGCUGGCGAGACACACACCGAUACAUAGAAACAAUGAAAUAUGGGUGUCAGGAGGUGGCAAAUGCUCCGGAGAAAACUGAAGCUGAGAUGAAUAAUCAUUCUUUGUCCAGGUGGAAGUGGCAAGAGAAAGACACAGACCUGGGAAACCAGCUUAAUCCUUGUUCAGGGAGGAGCCCGGGACACCUGGGAACAGGACAGCAAGAAGGCCAGGAAGGGGGUUCUCACCAGGAACUCAAUCUGCCAGCACCUUGAGCUUGGACUUUCAGCCUCCAGAACUCUGAGAGACUAAAUGGUUAAGAAGUAAGGAAACCACUUGAAGUAAAUUUGGUUCUCCUAAGUUUUUCUACAUAAAGCUUUAAAAUGCUUCACUCCCUUGACAAACUUUAUGGUGAGAGGGAAGAGAGAGAGAGGCCUGGGAUUCCACCCACCCUUCACACCACACUGCACGUGGUUUUAAAUCUGCACAAAACUCUGCCAUCUGGAAAGAAGAGAGAAGAUUGAGAAUAAAAGAUUUGUAAAAUAUGUGUUUCCCAAACCCUCGGGACCUAAAGAGUUAGUAACUUGACAAAGCAACUAGCUUUUUUUUUAUUAGACUACAGAUAUUUAUGAAACACUGGGCGCUAUGUGGUGUUUUCUUUGUUGGAUUAAUUAUAAAUGUCAUGAUCCAUGUUCAAAGGGAUUCAGGGAUGGAACAGACAGACCGAUGGACAACAGGGCCACAGAAAGCUGAAGAGGAUUUUAAAAUGUAAUUUGAACCGUACGGAGAAUGGCCAGGAACUUCCAGAAAAUUCUGUUUUGCUGCCAUGACCCAAAUAAAGAAUUUUACAAGGCUGGGUGGAGCCCAUUGAACGUUGAAGUGUCUCAAUCUUUUUGAAUUUAAAAUCUAGGUAAUAAAACAAGCUUGUGCCACGUGGAGAAGAUGGACUCUUAGGAGAAAGUGCUGAGUCUGGUUCCUGGAGUUUAAGUCAUGUGCAAUCACAGGCAAGAAGAGGAUGAUUAGUCCUUCCAAAAUGGCCCACUUCAAACUCUGAUUAUCACGAAAAGGGUGGAAGGUGGUAUCAAAAUUACCAGUUAUAAACCUGGAGGGACAGCAAGAAAAGCCAGCCUGGGACUCUUACAGAAAUAAUACAGUGAAAGAGUACGUCCCACCCUGGGAAUUAGGAAUGCACUCUGUCUUCUGGUGACCUGGCCACAGACCAACUUUUCCCCCUUCUCCUUUUUUCAGGAGAGAAAAAAAAAAAAAAAAUCUCCUUUUCCCUCCCUUGAGUUUCUGUGUUUAUACAAGAAGCCCGUCUUCUGUGUUCAUCACCACCACGUUCUGUGAGAAGCUUUCAGCAGUUUUCUCAGGGUGGAAAUCUUAAGGCCGGCCUUUCUUGUUUGGGCUUCUUGUUUGGGUCUCUGACACACAACGGGGCUGUUGACAGAAAUGGUUAAGUGGCCGUGAAGUCUGGAGCCCAGAUGCAAUCCACCUGCCAAACAGGAUCAAGGGUGAUGGCAGAGAUGGAAGGCCAAGCCAGCUCUUCAGCCUCAAUGGAAGUGUUAACAGAAAGCAGGAGGGGGAGCUAAGCUUGCUGAGGACAAAGGAAAACGCAACAGAUCAAUCAACUCUCCUUUGUUAAGAGGCGGCAGAUCACAGGCUGAGGCCAUCAGGCUCCCAGACGAGAUGGGGCUGGGAGGACCCUUCGGGGUGUACCGUUUCCUCGGUGGGACGCUCAGCUCCAGGCAAAUCCCCAAUCUGCACGUUGGGCUUUGCAAAGGGUGCUCCUGUGUCUUUGAUGACUUUCCAUAAGAAGACAGUCUGACAGAGAUGACGUUCACUUCCCUGCUCCCAGGCCAGUGAGAGCACCGCAAACCCCUCUGUGCAAACUACUAGCAUUUCGGGAUCUCAGGGAAAAAAAAAAAGAUCCACUUCUGCAUUCCAGACUCAUGGGGCAAAUGGAAACAGAUGAAAAACAAACCAAAACCCAGAACUGCUGCCUUGCAGGUCUGUUAACAGGGGCAACCACUGGAAGCAGGUACUUCACUUCUUCCCUAAGAUGUGGAAUAAAAUGUAGACAUCUUUAGAUGCCUUUGGUAUAUUUUAAUGUAUUUACCCUUAGACACAGAGGCCCAUAUUUAUUGAAUUGCCUCAAAAAUUAUUUAAGCAGGUUUUCUCUUAUUAUUAUUCUUUCCUUUCCGUGGUCAUGGGCUGGGGCUCCGCACUACCGCGCUCACCAUACGCCCACAUUCCCAUUUGGUUCUGCCUCCCCCGAGCAUUCCCUGCUUUUAUUUUUUUAUUUUAUUUUAUUUU